rnacentral:rRNA from 1 species
UACGGAGGGGGCUAGCGUUGUUCGGAAUUACUGGGCGUAAAGCGCACGUAGGCGGCUUUGUAAGUUAGAGGUGAAAGCCCGGGGCUCAACUCCGGAAUUGCCUUUAAGACUGCAUCGCUCGAAUUGUGGAGAGGUAAGUGGAAUUCCGAGUGUAGAGGUGAAAUUCGUAGAUAUUCGGAAGAACACCAGUGGCGAAGGCGGCUACCUGGCAUGAUACUGACACUGAGGCGCGAGAGCGUGGGGAGCAAACAGG